UACGUAGGGUCCAAGCGUUGUCCGGAGUUACUGGGCGUAAAGCGCGCGCAGGCGGCGGUGCUGGCCCGGCGUGAAAGCCCCCGGCUCAACCGGGGAGGGUCGCUCGGGGACCGCACCGCUUGAGGGCGGUAGGGGCUGGUGGAAUGCCUGGUGUAGUGGUGAAAUGCGUAGAGAUCAGGCGGAACACCCGUGGCGAAGGCGGCCAGCUGGGC
rnacentral:rRNA from 1 species